rnacentral:lncRNA from 1 species
AAACUCCUUGGCUUGUUUCUGCUCACCCUACCUCCAUCUUUGCGUUCACUUUCGAAUCUCGAUCGAAACGUCUCUUGUUUCGCCUCGAUUGAAGUUACCAUUGAGACUUUACGAUAUAAAAAAAAAAAAAAAAAACAGCAAGACCUAUUUUCUCGCAUGGAUUCAGAUUAAUCGUAUAAAACGGCAAUGGUUAACUUAACACCUUAGCCGCCUUAACUAUACGAUUACGUUGGACCUUUUUACAAAAAUCGACGUCUAUCUAAGGAGAAGAUAACAGUCAAGUUCGGAAGAUAAAUGUCAAGUUUCAAGGGUAAACACCAAUAUCGGAAAUGGCGAACAUACACGAGAAUAGGAAACGGAAAUGAGCACGCAAAACUGAGAAGGGACAAAACUGCAUCUUCGAGAGAACUAAGGUAUUUCCGACUUGAAAUUUUUGAAAUCAGACUUGGAUUUUCGUAGGAAAUUACUUUGAGCUGCCCUAUAGAACUUUAGGGAACGUAAACCUAGGCGGAUAGUCUAGCGAACUAAGUUUUAAGCGAUUUUCCUGUCUCGAUAUAUUGUUCCAUAAUUGUUCAUCCAAAUCUUGCAAACCGAUCUAAACUCUCCGAAAGUCGAGAAAUGAUCGCCACGCAUAUCAAGCUCGCUUCCUAAAGAGAGAAAAAGUUAGAGACAUGAACGUCGUCUUAAAACCGAUUCGUUUCUGGCAAUUUUCUCGGAACCGACAUAUCCCAAGUCGUCAACGUGGAAACAACCAAAUCACAGUCCAAGCGUCGUCUAUAAAUCGUCCCGAAUUAUCGAUCAUUCCAAACAUCAGGAGAGGAAACGUACACAACCCUUCAAAGUAUCGGUUCAACCGUUUUUCUUUCGUAAAAAAAAAAAAGGGGGAGUAGGUACGUAUACUAUACUCGUAUACUCCCAAACUUCAAAAAACUUCUGCAAAUCGUCAAGAAUAGGCAAACGACAAUCUUAAUAUUCGUCUAAACGCUAGCAACAUAUCCAGACGAUCAUGAACAUAAUCUCAAAAACUAUACAUCAUUUCUUGUCGCAAUCAUGCGUACAGAAAACUUGUACCAAUAUCAAACUGAAACUCGACGAUUAGCCAAAGUAUUGAAGCCUUUUCCGGCUUCAGAAAGCCAGUUUCGUUUUAAACUUAGCGGCGAGAAAUCUUCAAUCACCAAAGCAUUUCUUUCAGUUUCCGUUGUACCAAGUAAGUCACGGAAAAGUAUCGAAAACAUUUGCGACGAAGAAAACUCGAGAAUAUAUGUAGCAUCGUGCACAUUUAAAAGAGCACUUUCCUCCCGAUGGUUAGCUAGAUCCACUUCUGGUUGACCAAUUCUUUCAAGAAACAAAUGUGUCAUGAGAAUCCUCUCGAAAAACCUAUGAAAAACGUUCCGCGACUAGAUCGUAUUGAAAUAAACUUCGGUAAUACUCCAUGGGUAACGCCAAGCACCUUCACCUAAGAUCAAAAUCACAGCGGGAACGUUUCUCGUAGAACCCGCAGAAACAAUGCUACUUUGACAUAUGUAUACAUAUCACUGAUUUACGACCUUCGUAAAAUCGGUUAUAUGAUAUGAUAAAUUAUCGUAUAGCCCACAAUCGGAAAUCAUAUGAUAAAUUCUUCAUAACGAAACUAAGUCCUAACAACCAAACGGUUAACGGAAAAAUCUAAACUUUUCGAAAAUUGACCAAGUUCAAUACGCUCCACAAUUCACUUUAAGCCCGCAACGUUUUAACCACAAUACGCGGCAUGUAAGGAAAAAUUCGUAACAAAGCUUCUAGAGCUAUACGAAACAUCCUAAAAAAUGCACGAAAUACAUCUCGGAAGGCCCAACUCUUCACAAAGCACCAUGAAGGAAAACACUUGUUCCCAUGGAAAAUUUACACGACACCUCAGUCAUAAUUCCUCGAUCGCAAACAAAACUAUUAGCAUCCGAACAGGAACAACAAUUUUUGGCUGCGAACAUUCUUAGUCAAACCAGAAUGUUCUCAAACACAGGGCUAAUACUAAACCCUCGCAACAUCGCGAAAUAUCUUCAAAGCCCGCGAACAUUUCAAGCACGAAACGUGGAUACGAAAGAAUAACAAAUCUUCAGCAUCGCGAGACGUCGCGGACGCCUGAAGAUUAGUUCUUCGACAAUUUCCUCCUCGAUAAAAACACCUUCAUGGAAGACCAGACAGUCAUACGCACUAACAUCUUCUCAAAACAUAUUCUUCGCGAAGACUCAAAAUAGUAAUUUUUACCAUUAAGUUUGUUGCUGAUCACAACAAACUCUUACGUCCUAAACAGACUUAGCCAUCUCAGUAGAUGACUCUCUUUACAUCCGACACAAGGAUAAUAGCGCUAUAAAAGAAAUCCGAAAUUUUGGUCCAGCACUUCCGGUCUCCGGAGAGAUGCUCGAUUCGUAUCAACCAAGUCGUAUAAGCCGAGAAACUAUCGCGGACUUUAAAUCGAUACGAAUCAGGAAGAAAUGAAACGGGAAAACGAUAGCCGGCCAGUCACCGCACCUCUUAACCGAAAGUAAACCUAGGUCUUGCCCUAAACCCAGCGCACUGGUCUCUAACAUCUCUAGGCAUAGUAUCAAACACCCUGAUACGAGAUCCCAAAUUUGUCUCUUUGCCAAUAUUCGAACGUCUUCAGAAAAUCCCGCAAGUUUACACCNNNNNNNNNNNNNNNNNNNNNNNNNNNNNNNNNNNNNNNNNNNNNNNNNNNNNNNNNNNNNNNNNNNNNNNNNNNNNNNNNNNNNNNNNNNNNNNNNNNNGGAGGGAGCUUCGGUUUGAUCAAAAAUGGAGAUCACACAGUCUGACUCAAAGGGUCAAAAGAGAAAGGAGGAAACUGGCGGAGGAGGUGUGUUGGGGUCAAAAUCGGUCACGACGGAAUCAAUGUCUGAAAGUCCGUAAAAAUCAGCAUAACCGUUUUUACGAAAAGUAAUCUUCGUAAAGAUAUCUUUACGAACAGCCUUGCAGUAAAAUAUCGUCCAAAUCUCAAUCGAACCACUAAAUACCGAUUGUCCGAAGGCAACGGACAUGUAUCCAAUCGGCCGCGGACAAGCUCGAGUAUGGAAAUCAGACCGCGGACAAGCCAAGCUCGAUCGAUACGCGGCGACCAAGCAUGCACACAGCUCGGUCGCUACGUAGCGACCGAGCUCGAGCCAAGCUCGGUCGCUACGUAGCGACCGAGCAUCCGUCUCGCUCGGUCGCUACGUAGCGACCGAGCUCGAGCCAAAGCUCGGUCGCUACGUAGCGACCGAGCGAUCGUCCGCUCGGUCGCUACGUAGCGACCGAGCUCGAGCCAAAGCUCGGUCGCUACGUAGCGACCAGCGAUCGUCCCGCUCGGUCGCUACGUAGCGACCGAGCUCAGCCAAGCUCGGUCGCUACGUAGCGACCGAGCGAUCGUCCCGCUCGGUCGCUACGUAGCGACCGAGCUCGAGCCAAAGCUCGGUCGCUACGUAGCGACCGAGCGAUCGUCCCGCUCGGUCGCUACGUAGCGACCGAGCUCGAGCCAAAGCUCGGUCGCUACGUAGCGACCGAGCGAUCGUCCCGCUCGGUCGCUACGUAGCGACCGAGCUCGAGCCAAAGCUCGGUCGCUACGUAGCGACCGAGCGAUCGUCCCGCUCGGUCGCUACGUAGCGACCGAGCUCGAGCCAAAGCUCGGUCGCUACGUAGCGACCGAGCGAUCGUCCCGCUCGGUCGCUACGUAGCGACCGAGCUCAGCCAAGCUCGGUCGCUACGUAGCGACCGAGCGCUCGUCCCGCUCGGUCGCUACGAAGCGACCGGGCUCGAGCCAAAGUUCGGUCGCUGUGUAGCGAUUGAACCUUUCCGAACGUCAAUACGACACCAGUUCUUGCAUUCUCGUCAAAACCUUCGAAUGCUAUCUCCCGAAGACCGUAGCAAGCUCAGUCCAUGUUUCCCGCCAUUCUAAUUCAUCGAUCAAACUUCGCGGAUUAGAAACCGCGGAAAACUCGUAGUAAACGUGUCGAGUCGGAAGACGGCCCAAAGGGACCUAAAACACGACUCGAGGCCCAUCCUACGAUUUUCCUAAUCAAAAGCCCGUAAACCACAGCCUGGUUUACGCUUGGUCCACAAGGAAGGAUAAAUGUCAAGUUUCCGCGGAUAAAUACGGAAGUUUUGAAGAUAAUUGUGAAGAUCGGGAAAAAUGGAAUAUCUCCAUUUUUAUGCUAUGACGGCUUAAGGGCAGAAGAGUAAAAGCGUAAACCGACCUUGGAGCUAGUAUAUAAGGAGUCCUAGGCGAGGAGCAAGGGAGAACUUUUUAGAUUCGGAAUUCUCUGCACUUAGAAACUUUAGGCUUAUUCUCGACAAGUUCGGUUUCUAUGACUGGCACUCAAUUACUAGACGAACUCGCCCAGGCAGUUCGAUCUCUUGUCCAGCUCUAUCAAUUGAACUACGUUCGGCUUGAUCCUCGAAAGGGGUACGUAGGCAGCCUUUAACAAGGUUCAGUCCGAAAUCAAUCUAAGCCUUUUAGAUAUCUUUUUCGUCCUUUGUUAUCGAGCUGCGACUCAACUAGGAUUAGGGUUUUAUGUUGCUAGAACUAGGUAACUCGCUGACGGCCCCUGCGGCCAAAGCCUUUGUAUUCUCUUGUAAUGAUCGCAACGCUCUUACGCGGACUCGAAAUAAGAUCUACUGUUUUCUCUAAACUCGUUUGUUAUCUUUUCAUGAUUUCCGCAUAUAUUCGAUCACUUGUCGUUGGCUCUCGCAGAGAUCCGGGACCUCUGGGAAAUUAGGGUUUUCCUAGUUUCCUUAUUUAAACGGAAAUCGACAGUGCGAAUUUCGGUUCCCACAGUUUGGCGCUAGAAGGAGGGGGGUUACGGAUUACUCUUACUCAUGGCCACAAAACGCUUGAUCGAAACGAUGUUUGGAUAUAUGAAAGACAAACUCGCAGCACUGACUGCUCCUAUGGCCAACGCUUACGCAAACGCCGUAGUUUUCAACAAAAUCGAAAACUUAGUCGCGACCUUCCGCCACAGGAAGAGCACUAAAACAAGCUCGCGAUUUCCUCCCUGUAAACAAGAAGGGAAACGAAAUCUUAUCAAAACCCCGUAAACAAAUCUCGAUGCAUAAGGGUUUUACCAAAACACGUUUUCCGAAAACAUUUCGGAAGGAUAAAACUUGUUCUCCCAAAAAAACCGCUGAAAAACCCCUACGUUAAUCGCGGAAAAAGGAAACACAACAAAACGAUUACACAGCUCGGUCGCUACGUAGCGACCGAGCACGCACACUGCUCGGUCGCUACGUAGCGACCGAGCACACACGCUGCUCGGUCGCUACGUACGACCAAGCACAUCGGUCACACACGCUGCUCGGUCGCUACGUAGCGACCGAGCACACACGCUGCUCGGUCGCUACGUAGCGACCGAGCACACACGCUGCUCGGUCGCUACGUAGCGACCGAGCACUCACACGGCUCGGUCGCUACGUAGCGACCGAGCACGCACGCUGCUCGGUCGCUACGUAGCGACCGAGCACACACGCUGCUCGGUCGCUACGUAGCGACCGAGCACGAACACUGCUCGGUCGCUACGUAGCGACCGAGCACGCACACUGCUCGGUCGCUACGUAGCGACCGAGCACGCACACUGCUCGGUCGCUACGUAGCGACCGAGCACGCACACCUGCUCGGUCGCUACGUAGCGACCGAGCACACACACUGCUCGGUCGCUACGUAGUGACCGAGCUCAAGCCAACUCUCCACUCGCUACAUAGCGACCUGUAAGGCCUCAGAAAGGUCCUCCUUUGGGUUCUCUUUUGAAUCCUCGUCGAAACGCUUUUCGUUUCGUCUCAAUCGGAGUUUCCGUUGAGAUUUUACGACGAACACAAGUGGGAUUCUUCUCGGCUUGCUUCCACUCGCUACGUAGCGACCUGUCAGACUGUCAGUCGCUACGUAGCGACCUGUAAGGCCUCAGAAAGGUCCUUCUUUGGGUUCUCUUUUGAAUCCUCGUCGAAACGCUUUUCGUUUCGUCUCAAUCGGAGUUUCCGUUGAGAUUUUACGACGAAAACAAGUGGGACUCGUCUCGGCUUGCUUCCACUCGCUACGUAGCGACCUGUCAGACUGUCAGUCGCUACGUAGCGACCUGUAAGGCCUCAGAAAGGUCCUCCUUUGGGUUCUCUUUUGAAUCCUCGUCGAAACGCUUUUCGUUUCGUCUCAAUCGGAGUUUCCGUUGAGAUUUUACGACGAAAACAAGUGGGACUCUUCUCGGCUUGCUUCCACUCGCUACGUAGCGACCUGUCAGACUGUCAGUCGCUACGUAGCGACCUGUAAGGCCUCAGAAAGGUCCUCCUUUGGGUUCUCUUUUGAAUCCUCGUCGAAACGCUUUUCGUUUCGUCUCAAUCGGAGUUUCCGUUGAGAUUUUACGACGAAAACAAGUAGGACGCUUCUCGGCUUGCUUCCACUCGCUACGUAGCGACCUGUCAGACUGUCAGUCGCUACGUAGCGACCUGUAAGUCCUCAAAGGUUCUUCCUUUGCGUUCUCCUUUGAAUCCUCUUCGAAAUGCUUUUUGUUUCGUCUCAAUCGGAGUUUCCGUUGAGAUUUUACGACGAAAACAAGUAGGACGCUUCUUGGCUUGCUUCCAUUCGCUACGUAGCGACCUGUCAGACUGUCAGUCGCUACGUAGCGACCUGUAAGUCCUCAAAGGGUUCUUCCUUUGCGUUCUCCUUUGAAUCCUCUUCAAAAUGCUUUUCGUUUCGUUUCAAUCGGAGUUUCCGUUGAGAUUUUACGACGAAAACAAGUGGGACUCGUCUCGGCUCCCUUCCACUCGCUAUAGCGACCGAGAUGACAUCCUCACUCGCUAUAGCAACCUGUCAGGCCUCAAAGGGGUCCUCCUUUGCGUUCUCCUUUGAAUUCUCAUCGAAACGCUUUUGGUUUCGUCUCAAUCGGAGUUUCCGUUGAGAUUUUACGACAAAAACAAGUAAACCUCAUCCUAAACUCCUUGGCUUGUUUCUGCUCACCCUACCUCCAUCUUUGCGUUCACUUUCGAAUCUCGAUCGAAACGUCUCUUGUUUCGCCUCGAUUGAAGUUACCAUUGAGACUUUACGAUAUAAAAAAAAAAAAAACCGCAAAGACCUAUUUUCUCGCAUGGAUUCAGAUUAAUCGUAUAAAACGGCAAUGGUUAACUUAACACCUUAGCCGCCUUAACUAUACGAUUACGUUGGACCUUUUUACAAAAAUCGACGUCUUAUCUAAGGAGAAGAUAACAGUCAAGUUCGGAAGAUAAAUGUCAAGUUUCAAAGGGUAAACACCAAUAUCGGAAAUGGCGAACAUACACGAGAAUAGGAAACGGAAAUGAGCACGCAAAACUGAGAAGGGACAAAACUGCAUCUUCGAGAGAACUAAGGUAUUUCCGACUUGAAAUUUUUGAAAUCAGACUUGGAAUUUUCGUAGGAAAUUACUUUGAGGCUGCCAUAGAACUUUAGGGAACGUAAAACCUAGGCGGAUAGUCUAGCGAACUAAGUUUUAAGCGAUUUUUCC